GGGUUGUGAGGUUAAGCGACUAAGCGUACACGGUGGAUGCCCUGGCAGUCAGAGGCGAUGAAGGGCGUGCUAAUCUGCGAUAAGCGCCGGUAAGGUGAUAUGAACCGUUAUAACCGGCGAUACCCGAAUGGGGAAACCCAGUGUGAUUCGUCACACUAUCAUUAACUGAAUCCAUAGGUUAAUGAGGCGAACCGGGGGAACUGAAACAUCUAAGUACCCCGAGGAAAAGAAAUCAACCGAGAUUCCCCCAGUAGCGGCGAGCGAACGGGGAGGAGCCCAGAGCCUGAAUCAGCAUGUGUGUUAGUGGAAGUGUCUGGAAAGGCGCGCGAUACAGGGUGACAGCCCCGUACACAAAAGCGCAUGUGCUGUGAGCUCGAUGAGUAGGGCGGGACACGUGGUAUCCUGUCUGAAUAUGGGGGGACCAUCCUCCAAGGCUAAAUACUCCUGACUGACCGAUAGUGAACCAGUACCGUGAGGGAAAGGCGAAAAGAACCCCGGCGAGGGGAGUGAAAAAGAACCUGAAACCGUGUACGUACAAGCAGUGGGAGCCCCACCACCAAAGCAUUCUCUGGUGUUGAAGGCCCUGCAAAGCAGCAUCGCGGUGGCGGAGCGUCGUUUGCGACGCCCAACACACAAAACAAGCGGUGAGUGCUUUGGGGUGGGGUGACUGCGUACCUUUUGUAUAAUGGGUCAGCGACUUAUAUUCUGUAGCAAGGUUAACCGUAUAGGGGAGCCGCAGGGAAACCGAGUCUUAAU
rnacentral:rRNA from 1 species